rnacentral:lncRNA from 1 species
GGGGAAGUAGUAAGAAGGUGGCACACCUUCUCAAUCGAACAAAAUGCGAUUGUCGAUGAUUUCUUUUUUUAUUCUAUUAUACUUUUUUAUAUUAUAUAUUAUACAAUGAUUUGUUAUUAUACUUUUUUAUUCUAUUAUACUUUAUUAUACGAUGAUUAGUAUUAACAUAACGAAUUAACCUGAUUUGCCUGGUGUAAAUGUAUAGGGUAGAGCUUGCUUGGGCAGUUAUUGUAUGAGGUCUACCCUAUCUUAGUAGAUAAAAGAGAAACCAUUCCAUGAGUUUGGUUGGGCUUCUCUCGGUGUCAUAAAAAGACCCCCUUCCAUUAUUAAUAUCAAUAUCAGCCAAUGAAUUUCAUAUACAAGUAAAAACUAAAAUAUACAAUGAAUGUAUAAUGGAUUCCAUCCAUAGAACUCACCUCCCUUUUUUUGAGUCAUUUUUUUUUAUUCUAUGUAUGAUAAUACUUUAUUAUAUGAUGAUUUAUUAU